rnacentral:rRNA from 1 species
UAGGUGUCCUAGAGGUGUAGAAGCCUCUAAGGGUAGGUCUGUUCGCCCUUUAAAAUCUAACAUGAGCUGAGUUCAGAACGGCGUGAGCUAGUUCAGUUUCUAUCCUCUUUUAAAAAAUAAGCUAAUUUUGUACGAAAGGACUUUUUCGCUAAAGUAAUGCUUUGGCCCAGCCCUAUAAUUACACAAAUAUUAAUACAUGACGAGCUGAUCAACUCAUAAAAAGGGCUG